UGGCAAGACUUGUACUAGGGCC
rnacentral:miRNA from 1 species